UGGGAUGGUGUCAACUUUAAUGUGUUGUUGGAGAUGCAAUCACAACAAAUUGGGUGUUUUGGUGUCUUGUUAGAUAUUGCCCAAGAACCCAAAACCAGAUCUUUCUCCCCGGUGCAUACCGGCACCAGAGGGCGCCCGAGGGACCCUCCUCCCAUUUUCUCUUUUUUUUCCCUCUUUGCUCGUUGUGGUCCCUUGCACUAUCUCUGCCUUGUUUGAGGUGCUGUUCUUGGUGGCUCCCUGGAUUCGUCUCCGCUGCAGAGAAGAUCCGGGUCCAGCGGCGGUCAGCUAGAUGUUGGAGCCUUAGCGCGUUACGAGUCUGAGUUUCCAUUGGCAAAGUCGGCUUUUGGGGAUAUACAAAAGGUCACUUGAGCCUUCUGGAGGGGUAGUUGCGCGGGAGGCACUUGGUUCUCUCUCCUUUCUGUCGCGGUUCGAAGGCUUCUCUGAUUCAGCCAUGGCGGUGGGUGAGUGGUGUGUUGAAACAGAUCUGUCUCUCAUCCUUGGUGUAUCGGAUUAGCAUUCUCUGUCUUUCUUUCACCGCCGUGUUUGCUCUGGAGAAUCUUUCUACCUCAGAGGCGUGUUGUAAACCUGGCUUCCGGCGUAUGUUGGAGCCUGCCGUGGUAGCACGUGGAGUGUGACAUAGUCACGGUGUCGGAGAUGGUCGUCGUCUAUGCCUCUCUGAGGCGGUCAUGUGGCCUCCCUUUCAUCAACCUCUCCCUUCCCGGCUUUUUGUCAGAGUGUUUCCGGCAAUACUUGGCAUCGUUCUCUCUCGGGUUCAUCGCUUUUGUUUCUUUGGUACUGUUGGUAUUGUGCCACCGGUGCCUCUAUUCAACAGCAAGACUAACUUCACUUCGGUUCUCGAAGGAAGCGGUUGGCGAGGAGUUAGGAAGCUUUCGGUGGUCUUGGGACCCUUCCUCCCUUGGUGGCUCAGUCGACAAGUGGCACAUCCCAGUGCUGUGACUUCGUUCAUGGUAGUGUUGCUUGGCUUUGUUUGCAGGUUUGGAGCGUUUUUUUUUGUUUAGUAGCGACCAUUCCAUUCCCGUCUCUUGCUUCUCCGUUCUAGACCAGAGAUCUUCUGCGGUCCCUUCAUUCUAGACGGUUUAGAUUUGGGUGUUGUAUGUGACUGCAUAAGCGGGUUUAGGUCGAUUUUCAAAGGUUUGUAUCUGAUCUCACUCAAAUUACCCUAAUGAGUGAAUUACUCUCUCAGAUAAAAGGUUCAGUCGUAGUACUUAGGGAUCAAAUUCAAAUGGAGCUAGGGAACUUAAUAAAUCUAAUCAGAUUGAUAAGCUAGGUUGAAUAUGUUUAAAUUUAAAUAGCAGGUUUGUGAGCAAGGCAGUUACUCGAUUGAUUUGAUUGGGGUUUUGGUACUUAGAUGAAAGUAGCUAGACUUAGGGUUUUUAUUCAGGUAAUCAGGAUUAUAAUCCUACAGAUGCCUAACAAAUUGUAUGCAUGAUAUUAUAGAGCUCAACACUUAUAAACAAACUGAUAGGCUCUCGCUUUCUAGGUUUGUCUAUUGACCUGAUAUAAGUGUCGAUUCUAUAGGAAUAUCGAUCGAUACACUUGUUGAACCGUCGACCGAUUAUUCGAUUGAAAUAUCGAUCGACGCGUUUGGUCAAGCUUUACCGUGCGGGUUAAAUGUGCUCACUAAGCUUCCUAGAUCAGCUCUCGCCUUACUCUAGCAAUCUUAUCUCAAUUAGGAUGAAUUCAGGGUGAGAUGCAAGUGAUGACCUUUACCUCAAACUCCUAGAUCAAGUUCUAGCUAGCUAAACUACAAACAUGCUUUAAUGACAAUCCUAAUGAUGAAUAUCACAACUUAGCGAUCUAUAGUUGGGGCUAAUCCCUCAUAACCUAUUUAAGCCCUAAACCUAAUAAAAGAACUACUCAGACAUGGCUAAGCAAUUCAUAACAACAAUUAGGUAUAAAACCUGCAUAGAUAAAUAGAUAGAUAUCCAUAGAGUUCCAAUCGUAAAUCUCUUUGGAUCUUCUCUCCAAUCUACUAAAAAUCCUAGAAAACCUUUUGAUGUGAAAAUAGUAAAACAAGAAAGCACACUUUGCCUCUAACAUGUUGGCAAACUUAUACAAUUCGGUUAAAACUCGUCAGGGGUAAUCUUAUAAAUUGGUGAAGAUUUGGGCUCUAAGUCGGCGGAAACCAAACAUGCUUUCUGCGCGCUUUGCCGUCGACCGAUGUCACAGGAUGUGCAUCGAUGGAUUAUUAUCUCUGAAUGUGGACCGAUGGUCUUGCUCGAUGGUCAGCUCGGAUGCUUUCUCCAAAUAUCUCCAAAAUGCUCCAAAAUCAUCACUUUCUUCCAAAUCACUUCUGAUCCUAUAAAUAUACUAAAUAUACUCUAUAAUAUAAUAAAUAGUUAUUAAAACACCUAUACAACAUGGCUAAAAAUGGCUAACAUCCAUGGCUUAUCAGUAUCCUUCCUCCUUCACUGAUGGCUCCUAUGCGCUGAUUGGCAGAGAAAAUUAUGGGUUCCAAGGCGUUCACCGUGAGCUAGCUACUCCGGAGACAGCACAGAUAUUCCCUGCAUCCGAAGAAAUGAAGAGAACCUCACAUAUUUACGGGUAUUGUCGAAGGUUGAGAACGGUAAGCGGUUCUUAGGAAGUUCAAAAUCGGAGGUAGAGGAACGUGUCGGUUUUAUUGGGUGGGCAAAACUGCUUUUAUAAUACAUUGACUUAGGAGCUUUUGUUCAAUUCGGACACAUGUAAUCGUAUCUAAAUGCCGUUCUCGGGUUGGUUUAAUUUAUAAAAUUUCUAUUAAAAAAUAAAAUUAUAUUCAGUCUCAUAGGUAUAAAACUAAUUAUGGUCUUAUUUUUUUAUAAAAUUACUAAACCCGAUUGAAUCAAGUUGGACCCUAUUGAACCAUGGCAUAAGAGUUUUUCCGGUUUGGUUGUCAUUCCGGUUUUAAAAUCAUUGGUUUUCAAAUAGUUUUGAGGUACCUGGCUAAGCUCGAACCUAAGUCUGGAUGAUAUCCGUUAACCAAAUUACCGCUACAAGAUCCAUUACAAUAGCUUAGAACACAUGACUCAGAUUCAGUUACAAACGCCGUGUAGGUACAAUUAGAACCAUUACCCAUCAACUAACAUAAUGAAUUCGUCUAUUUUUUUAGUGCGUCUACAGCUCUGAAAUUUGGGCUUACUUCUGCGCCCGUACCCAUGUCACCCCCCCC
rnacentral:lncRNA from 1 species